AUUGAACGCUGGCGGCAGGCCUAACACAUGCAAGUCGAACGAGUGGGGACGGGUGAGUAACACGUGGGAAACCUCCCAUCAGAGGGGAUAACACUUGGAAAGAGGUGCUAAACCGUAAUUGACGGAUGGGCCCGCGGUGCAUUAGCGAGUAGGUGGGGUAACGGCUCACCAAGCCCACGUUGCAUAGCCGACCUGAGAGGGUGAUCGGCCACACUGGAACGGAGACACGGCCCAGACUCCUACGGGAGGCAGCAGUAGGGAAUCUUCGGCAAUGGACGAAAGUCUGACCGAGCAACGCCGCGUGUGUGAAGAAGGUUUUCGGAUCGUAAAACUCUGUUGUUAGAGAAGCGGUAUCUAAAGAGAAAGCCACGGCUAACUACGUGCCAGCAGCCGCGGUAAUUC
rnacentral:rRNA from 1 species